GACGAACGCUGGCGGCGUGCUUAAUACAUGCAAGUCGAACGGAAAGGCCCUGCUUUUGUGUGUUUCUCGAUUGGCGAACGGGUGAGUAACACGUGAGUAACCUGCCCUUGACUGUGGGAUAACUUCAGGAAACUGGGGCUAAUACCGGAUAUGAUCUCCUGCUGCAUGUUGGGGGUUGGAAAGUUUCGGCGGUUGGGGAUGGACUCGCGGCUUAUCAGCUUGUUGGUGGGGUAGUGACUUACCAAGGCUGUGACGGGUAGCCGGCCUGAGAGGGUGACCGGCCACAUGGGGACUGAGAUACGGCGCAGAAUCGUAGGUGAGGCAGCAGUGGGGAAUAUUGCACAACGGGCGGAAGCCAGAUGCAGCAACGCCGCGUGCGGGAUGCCGGCCUUCGGGGUGUAAACAGCUUUCGCAUGUGACGAAGCGUGAGUGACGGUAAUGGGUAAAGAAGCACCGGCUAACUACGUG
rnacentral:rRNA from 1 species